UGAACUUCCAUGCCCUCCACAUGCAUUAUGAGAUAUUAAUAGGCAAAUCAUUCUCCAUAAUGAACUUAUAGAUCUCCUUCUAUUUCAUCUCUAUGCAUUAUGUACUCUCAUGCACCUUUUAUUGUGUAUUCUCUCGACAUGUAGGUUUGGUUCUAUUAUUUUUUGAUAUUUAUUCAUUUAAAACCAGAAUAAGUCAAAUCUUACAACUACAACAACAACAUACCUAGUGAAAUCCCACUAGGUGGGUCUGGGGAGGGUAGAGUGUGCGCAUACCUCACCACUACCUCGUGGAGGUAGAGAGGUUGUUUCCGAAAGACGCUUAACUUAAGUACAUCAAACCCAACUAAAAGAAGGAAAAGAACCAUAACAAAACAAAAUAGUGUGAUAAUCGCAACAUAAUAAACCACAUAUGACCAUAACUACAAGGGUAUGAGUAAUACUGUGAUAGGCACUAGUCACUACCAAGCCUAGAGAUGCGUAUCGGUUGGUUCAGUUUUGAAGUUUAUAGGUUUGACUUAUUGGUUAUUGGUUUGUAGAGAUGUUAAAUCGUUAUAGAACUAUUAAUAUAUUGACUUAUCGGUAAUUGGUUUAUCGAUUAUUGAUUGUUAUUGAUUUGGUUAUCAGUUUAAUCGUUAAGAUUUGACAUAAAAAUAAUCAUUGAAAAUCACUUAGAAACAAGGUGACAAACAAAAUGAACCAUGCACAUGAGUUCAUAAGUUACGUCUUCAUAAGUUACGUCUUGCUCAAAAGCAAACACUUUUAAAUUGUAGAAUAACCAAGAGUUUGAGACAAUAAAAAAUGAAAAUAGAAACCAAACUCUAAGUCAAGGACUUUAUAUACAAAAUAGUAUAAAUAUAAUUAUUUAAUUAUUAUCGGGUUAUCGGUUGACCCGAUAAGAAAAAACCUCAAACUGUUAAGAACCGAUAACCCGAUAAGAAAAAAAAUAUUAAAACCGUUAUCAAAACCACGAAGCUCAUUAUUGAUAAACCAAUAACUUUUUUUUUUCAGUUCGGAUUAUCGGUUUGGGUUCGAUUUUGAACAACCCUAACCAAGGCUACUAACCUUCUACCCUAAUACGCGACCUCUGUUCCUUCCAAUCUAGUGUUGUCUUUGGUAUCACCUACUCUCAAUUCUUUUUUGGCCUACCUCUACCCCUCCGUGAACCCCAACACCCAACCUCUCGCACCUCCUCACUAGGGGAUUUGGCACACCUUCUCUCACAUGCCCAAACCAUUUCAGUCUCACUUUCUUCAUCUUGUCUGGCAUAGAGGCUACUCCUACAUUCUCCCAAAUAACCUCAUUCCUAAUUUUGUCAUUUCUAGUAUGCCCAUAUAUCCGUCUCUACAUCUUCAAUCUCCCCAAAGUGCAUCUCCCCCAAAUGCAUCUUCUGUACAUGUGAAUUCUUGGAUGGCCAACACUCCACCCAAAAACAAGGGCGGUCUAACCACCACUUUGUAGAGAUUACUUAUAAGUUUAUGUGGUACCUUCAUUAACAAACAAGACUCUAGAGGCAAGCCUCCAUUUCAUCCAUGCCGCGCCAAUGCAUUGUGUGACAUCAUCGUUGAUGUCCCCACUAUCCUGGAUUGCGGAUCCAAAAUACUUAAAACUUUCUCUUUUGGGAAUACUCUGAAUGACAAGCCUCACUUCCAUGACCGCUUCAUCCAAUGCAACACUACAAUAGGUCAAAUGUUACCGCAAUUUUAAACUGAAAUACUAAAUCAAAUGGAAAUCAAUUUUUUCAAGUCGACUUCGUUUGAUUUGGUGCAAUUUUCUGAUUUUCCUUUAACACCUUACACCCCUAUGUGAAGUUAUAUUACAUGACAAUAAUCACUCUUAUUUAUUUUUUCAAAGUAAACCUCAUUAUCAAAGUAAAUUGACCUUUCAUAAUUUAUUUAACAGAAGUCCCUCUCAUCUAUAUAUAGAAAAAUAUUUAUUUGAGGAUAAUUGGUUUUACAAAGUUCUGAGUGACUCAAUGAGGAAGAACUCCUGUUAUGACUUCUACACCAAGAAGAAUAGAAUAGAGCAAGGUUUCUAAACCACUACAAAAGAAAGUUGAAAUUCGCUAAGAAGUUUGUUACUAAUCCGUCAUUAAAUUUCUCGUAGCUAAAAUAAACUUUUGAUAAUCCGUCGCUGAUCUACAAUGCAUUUUGUUGUACAAUUACAAAAUUGGUCUGUAGCUAAUUAUUUUUAAAAUAGUGAUGUAGUACAAGCGGUAAACGUAGAUAGGUUGAACUAUUGGUUUGGUGAAACAAAUGAAUGGACCGAAAGUUUUAACCACAAAAUGAGAACAUUGAGCCGAGACAGCUCAAGGCCCCAUUAAUUAGGAAAACUUUUGUGAGAAGAGCGAUAUACAGUGUGAAUCUAUUUCAUGUCCUGUUACAAAGAUAAGAAAAAGGAAGAGCGGAAAGAACAAUGAAUAUUUAACUUGAUUAGCAACCAAAAUAAAGCAUUUUAAUAAAAUAGUAAUAUUCUUUUUAUUACUUAAUUUGCACUUCUAAGAGAAUAUCGCUACACAUUAUAGAACCCUAGAUAUUCCAUUCCAUCCUCUUUCACCGCCGCCAACCUCUCUUUCCUCUUCAUCAUAGUUCAUCAUUAUCUCUCCCUUCACCAUCUCCAAUAUUGAAGAUCUAUAGUAGUUUUUUUGUCAUGAAACUCAACCAGGCCUUACCAAAUCUUUAUGGCUUUUGGGUUCAUCACGAAAUUGGAAAAGUAAUAUAGGACGGAGGGAGUAUAAAAGAAAACACAAAAGAACUAUUGAGAGAAUUUUUCUCUAAAAGGAAUGAUGAAUUAGGUAAUCGACCAUAAAACUCACAAGUCACAAAUACCCAAAACCAUGUACUAACCUUUUACAUAGCAAAAUCAAAUUUCAAAGAUUGCAAAAUUUUCCACCCUCAAAUGGAAUCCAAGGGAGAUGAAGCCUCCCAUCAACCCUCAAAUCGGAUCAAACCCACAAGCCAUUCACAAUUUUCAGUAACUUCAAUGCAAGAUUCUUCUAGCUUGGCGAUUCCCACCCUUCUACCGGAACUCAUAACUGAAAUUCUCUUAAGGUUACCAGUGAAAUCCCUCCUUCAAUUUAAGUGUGUUUCAAAAUCUUGGCUUGCUCUAAUCUCUAGUCAAGAUUUUAUCAAGACCCAUCUUAGUUUAUCAGCAAAAAACGAGGACUACAACCACCAUAAGCUCAUGUGGAGAAGUUGCUCCAAUUUUAAGAUUUGUUCGAUUAGGUGUUUACUUUGUGGAUCUGUUGUUGAGGCAUCUGACUUGGAAUAUCCCUACAAAUCUUUCAACAUUGUGGGUUCAGCCCAUGGGUUGAUUUGCCUUACUGAUGGGGCAUACGAGUUAAUUCUGUGGAACCCAACAAUUAGUAAGUACAAGAAAUUGCCUGCUUCUAGACCUAGGUUGAAGAAUACCAACAUUUUUACAUAUGGUUUUGGAUUUGAUGAGUGCCAUGAUGAUUAUAAGGUUGUAGGUAUAUUUGGUAGGUAUAAAAAUGGGCUUUUGGAGGACACCCAGGUCAACAUAUAUAGUCUAAGCAGUGAUUCUUGGAGAAGUAAGGAUGAUUUUCCAGGUGGGUUGCAACUUCUUCAAUCAGGUACGUUUGUAAAUGGGAAGCUUUAUUGGGCUACUAUUAGUGGUCUUAAUUUGAACAAUGGUAUGGGGACUAGGGGCAUCAUUUCUGUUGAUAUGGCUGAUGAGAAUUGGGAAAAGGUAGAGCAACCUUCUUGUGUAGGAGAGGAUUUUGGUUUGAGGCUAGGAGUAUUGGGUAAUUAUCUUUCUAUACUCUGUAAUUCUCAUUCUCACGUAAAUUUAUGGGUUAUGAAGAAGUAUGGGGUUAAAGAGUCUUGGGCAAAAAUGUAUACCAUCAAACGUCCCAUCCCUGGAAAAUAUGUGGUUACCACUCCGUUUUGCAUGUCAAAUAAAGGUGAAAUUCUGGUUGUGUUUGGAUCAACUUCGGCCAUAUACAAUACAAAGGAUGACACAAUAAAAUAUGCAGAGAUUACUAACUUUGGUUCCUGUAUGAAGAGUGCUUUCUACAUUGAAAGCCUUGUUUGUCCCAUUUCACACCAAAAAAAACGAACAGCCGAGGAUACAGUAAGAAUGGAGGCUGCAAAGACUCAGAUGAAUGACGAUUAUGUACCAGAUUUAGGAAGUGACGGUCCCUCACUAAUUGGGUCAAGAAGAUCAUCAGAUGAUAGUAACAAUGCAGAUCGAAUGAGUGAUCUUCAAGCCAUUUAGUGCACUGUGUUCCACCUGGAAGCCCCUUACCCAACCCUUUUUCACCUUUGCUGUCUGAAUCAAGUCCUUCCAUGGCUAUGAUGAAUAAGAAGGGUGACAGGGUGGUUUUCCUUGAAAUUAAUCCAAACACAAGCAACCUUUAUUUUUCUCUUGCAAGACAUCUGACAAUGAAAAUUGAUGUCUAUUAAGCUUUGGGUGGGUUUCCUUGAAAUACUGACUUGCCAAAGAGCCACGGACGAGAGAAGAUCAAGGAAUGAACAUAACUUUGUGGCAUGAGAAAAAUCAUAUCUUGCAGAUAGGCAUCAUUUUGUCAGAGUAUAGAUACUCAUCUCGGAGGUCACUUCUCAAAGAAAGGAGCAUUUAGGUCAAUUGAGAUUGUUGUUUUUCUGCCUUAGAGUAAAUGCAAAAUCCAGACUUCAAAUGAGUUAAGUUCUUGAAUGCUGGUGCGUCUACCUUCAAUGAGUUAAGUUGGCCCUGCUCCUAGCGUUUAAAUUAAAGAUGUUGGUGUCAAAUUUUAAAUUAAGUUUGUGGGUUAUGAAGGAGUAUGGAGUUAAGAUGUCAAAGCCAGGUUAUCCAGGAUUUAUCAUGGUAUUAGGGAAUACCCUCAACUAAAUAUAGGAUAGAUUUAAUCCCAAAUUUUAUGAGUUGACACCAACAUCUUUAAUUUAAACUCUAGGACUGGAGGCUAACUCAUUGAAGGCAGAAGCAUCAGUAUUUCCAGAACUUAACUCAUUUGAGGCUGGAUUUUGCAUUUUAUUUAAGGCAACAACAACAAUCUCAGUAGACCUAAAUGCUCCUUUCUUUGAGAAUUGGCCUCCGAGACGAGGAUCGAUAAUCUGACAAAAAUGAUGCCUAUUUGCAAGAUAUGAUUUUCCUCAUGCCACUAUGUUAUGUUCACUCCUUGAUCUUCUCUCGUUCAUGGCUCUUUGGCCGGUCAGUAUUUCAAGGAAAACCACCCAAAGCUUUAUAGACAUCACUUUUCAUUGUCAGAUGUAUUGCAAGAGAAUAAUAAAGGUUGCUUGUGUUUGGAUCAAAUUCAAUAAUAUACAAUCCAAAGGAUGACACAAUCAAAUAUGCAGAAAUUACCAACUUUCAUUCCUGUAGUGAGACUGAAGUCUACAUUGAUGACCUUGUUUGUCCCAUUUUACACACACAAAAAAGAUUGCCAAGGAUACAGUCAGAAUGAAGGCUGCAAAAACUUGGAAGUCAGGUGUCUGACGAUCCUGUAGGUUUCUCGGUCGUUUAUCAAAAGGUGAUGUGAACUUGUGAGUAUUCCUAGGCAUUUCAAUCAAAAAGAAAAACCAACUUGCACCAAGGGUGUGACCUAGUGGUCAAUGAAGUGGAUUGAAAACCAUGAGGUCAUAAGUUCUUAUUUCAGGAGAGGCCAAAAACACUUACCUCGUGGUGUCUAUGUUGGUGGGAGGUCGCAAGUAGAUCAUAAAGUUAAACGAGGUACCAGAUUUAGAAAGUGGCAAUCCCUCAAUUGGUUCAAGAAGAUCAUCAGACUGAUAGCAAUGAUGCAGAUCGAGUGAGUGGCGUGCUAAGUUAGUAAUCAUUCUUAGGAACAAAUAUGAUUCUGUUUUAGCAUUCUGGUUGAACAUAUAGUUCUUUUAAACUUUGAUAAAGAUCAUGUGAAUUUGGAGUUUAUGCAAAUAACUCCAUCAAACUUAAAAAGUUUGAUUGACAAUGUGGUUUGCUGAAGCAUAUCAUGACCCUAAAUAUGUGUAGUUAACUGUUUUGGAUAUGUUUGUUGCCUGGGAACUGGUCUUAUUA